rnacentral:rRNA from 1 species
UGAGGAAUAUUGGUCAAUGGUCGCUAGACUGAACCAGCCAAGUAGCGUGCGGGAUGAAGGCCCUCCGGGUCGUAAACCGCUUUUAGACGGGGAUAAAAGGGCGUACGUGUACGCCGUAUUGCAUGUACCGUCAGAAAAACGGACCGGCUAAUUCCGUGCCAGCAGCCGCGGUAAUACGGAAGGUCCGGGCGUUAUCCGGAUUUAUUGGGUUUAAAGGGAGCGUAGGCGGACUUUCAAGUCAGUGGUAAAAUCGUGUGGCUCAACCAUACCUCGCCAUUGAAAACUGGAAGUCUGGAGUGCACACAGGGGUGCCGGAAUUCAUGGUGUAGCGGUGAAAUGCUUAGAUAUCAUGAAGAACUCCGAUCGCGAAGGCAAGUGCCCGGGGUGCAACUGAUGCUGAGGCUCGAAGGUGCGGGUAUCGAACAGGAUUAGAUACC